UUGGAGGGCAAGUCUGGUGCCAGCAGCCGCGGUAAUUCCAGCUCCAAUAGCGUAUAUUAAAGUUGUUGCAGUUAAAAAGCUCGUAGUUGAAUUUCGGGAUCAGCAAGUAGGUCGUGCCACUGGUAUGCACUGGCUUUGCUGAUUCCUCCUUCUUGUAGAACCGUAAUGCCAUUAAGUUGGUGUUGCGGGGAAACAGGACUGUUACUUUGAAAAAAUUAGAGUGUUUAAAGCAGGCUAACGCUUGAAUACAUUAGCAUGGAAUAAUGAAAUAGGACGACGAUCCUAUUUUGUUGGUUUCUAGGGUUGACGUAAUGAUUAAUAGGGAUAGUUGGGGGCAUUAGUAUUCAAUUGUCAGAGGUGAAAUUCUUGGAUUUAUUGAAGACUAACUACUGCGAAAGCAUUUGCCAAGGAUGUUUUCAUUAAUCAAGAACGAAAGUUAGGGGAUCGAAGACGAUCAGAUACCGUCGUAGUCUUAACCAUAAACUAUGCCGACUAGGGAUCGGAUGAUGUUAAUUUUUUAAUGACUCAUUCGGCGCCUUACGGGAAAC
rnacentral:rRNA from 1 species